rnacentral:lncRNA from 1 species
UACUAUCCCGAUAGAAUAGAGGGCUCAGAAGAGCAGAACCCGGAAACAGCGGCCCUAACCCGUCGCGGCGAUCUAGUCCCACAGCGGACGCCUGCGGAAUACUUCUUGCAGCAAACACUUCCUCACAAGUCACGCCCUCGAGUGCGCCCAUUGGUCAACUCAUGUGCCGCCCGCGUCCCUAAGCGAUCCUAUUGGCUUUCUCUGGCGGCACAGACAAAAGGAUCGGCGGCGGCCGGUGCUGAUUGGGCGAAGCGCGGGGCACGGCUCUGGCCACCGCGCUGGAUUGGGGGGGCUGCGGCGGGCGGAGGUGGGGCGGUGGGGGCGGGGCGCCCCGGAGGGCGGCGGCUGCGGGGCGUCAGGAGCCUGCUUGUCCCUCCACCCUGCACCCCUCCCGCCCCGGGGUUCCUGCCCGGACCGCGGCCGCCUCUUCUUCCCGAAGGCUCCGUGUCAGUCUCCGCGGCGGGCCCGCCAAUCCGGGAACGCUGGAGUCCGGACGCAGAAGGCUGGGGCGAGCCUGCAGCUGGAUCCGCAGGUCCGCACCCCAUGCUCCGCUUCGGGGGCCGAAGUCCAGCCCGGACCCGCGGGGACCUUCUGCGCGGAUCGCGGGCGGGAGGUGCGGCACCCGCCAAGGCAGGCCAGGUCUCCGGCUUCUUGCGCUUUCUGGAGAGUUGGCUCGGCGGGUGCGUCGCCGGGGAGGGAGGGACGGGCCGUGUGGCCACUAGCCGGGUAGGGAGUGGCUUCGAGGGGCCCCUCGCCAGCGGAAGGCCUGCGAGGCCGCCCUCGGAGCACCGCCAGUCCCGGCCCAGGUCCACAGGAAUAUUUUCUGCAGUCUGGACUAGGAGGAAAGUGACACCCCGGCUCAUCUCGAACGGUGGCUUCUGAGUUGGGGAGAAAAGGACCCAGGCCUGGAAAGGAACCUCUUGGGGCAAAGCGCGCAGCCCGUGUGACCACCUUCCUUCCGCGAACCAAAACCCCAGGCACCGUCUUCUCCGGGUCCCGCGUAGAGCGCGGGGCGCAGUCCCGCGUCCACCAAAGCCCUGCCCCUCAUUUCUUCCAAAAUAAAACAAGCCAUAAGGCUCUCGACUACAGUGGAAAGGGCGCUGCAGAUUUAUGACCCCCCAAAUUCCCCACACUCUAAUUAUCCCUGUUUUUAUUUGACUUAUGAGUACUAACCAAUAAAAUCAUUUUUCAUUUUGGAUUACUUUUUCAUCCAAAGCGAAAAUCCAAAUUUCGCUCCUCUUUUACUCUUUGGGGGUGGGGGAGGAUACUUUUCUGAACCUGGAAAAAAGAAACUUGUCGGAGGCUGAGCCACCUAUUCCCCCCUUCCCACAGCCUCCUUAAUUUCAAUUUGGGGUUAAUUUUUUGUUUGUG